AUCUAGCUGACGAGUCCCAAAUAGGGGCGAAACUCGCGUCCUGGAU
rnacentral:hammerhead_ribozyme from 1 species